rnacentral:rRNA from 1 species
UACGAAGGGUGCAAGCGUUAAUCGGAAUUACUGGUCGUAAAGGGUGCGUAGGCGGUUCGUUAAGUCUGUUGUGAAAUCCCCGGGCUCAACCUGGGAAUGGCAAUGGAUACUGGCGAGCUAGAGUGUGAUAGAGGAUGGUGGAAUUCCCGGUGUAGCGGUGAAAUGCGUAGAGAUCGGGAGGAACAUCAGUGGCGAAGGCGGCCAUCUGGAUCAACACUGACGCUGAAGCACGAAAGCGUGGGGAGCAAACAGG